UCGAACGAUGAAGCCGCUUCGGUGGUGGAUUAGUGGCGAACGGGUGAGUAACACGUGGGCAAUCUGCCCUGCACUCUGGGACAAGCCCUGGAAACGGGGUCUAAUACCGGAUACGACGCGGGAAGGCAUCUUCUCGUGUGGAAAGCUCCGGCGGUGCAGGAUGAGCCCGCGGCCUAUCAGCUUGUUGGUGGGGUGAUGGCCUACCAAGGCGACGACGGGUAGCCGGCCUGAGAGGGCGACCGGCCACACUGGGACUGAGACACGGCCCAGACUCCUACGGGAGGCAGCAGUGGGGAAUAUUGCACAAUGGGCGAAAGCCUGAUGCAGCGACGCCGCGUGAGGGAUGACGGCCUUCGGGUUGUAAACCUCUUUCAGCAGGGAAGAAGCGCAAGUGACGGUACCUGCAGAAGAAGCACCGGCUAACUACGUGCCAGCAGCCGCGGUAAUACGUAGGGUGCGAGCGUUGUCCGGAAUUAUUGGGCGUAAAGAGCUCGUAGGCGGCUUGUCACGUCGGAUGUGAAAGCCCGGGGCUUAACCCCGGGUCUGCAUUCGAUACGGGCAGGCUAGAGUUCGGUAGGGGAGAUCGGAAUUCCUGGUGUAGCGGUGAAAUGCGCAGAUAUCAGGAGGAACACCGGUGGCGAAGGCGGAUCUCUGGGCCGAUACUGACGCUGAGGAGCGAAAGCGUGGGGAGCGAACAGGAUU
rnacentral:rRNA from 1 species